rnacentral:rRNA from 1 species
GUACACAAAAGCGCAUGUGCUGUGAGCUCGAUGAGUAGGGCGGGACACGUGGUAUCCUGUCUGAAUAUGGGGGGACCAUCCUCCAAGGCUAAAUACUCCUGACUGACCGAUAGUGAACCAGUACCGUGAGGGAAAGGCGAAAAGAACCCCGGCGAGGGGAGUGAAAAAGAACCUGAAACCGUGUACGUACAAGCAGUGGGAGCACCCUUUGGGGUGUGACUGCGUACCUUUUGUAUAAUGGGUCAGCGACUUAUAUUCUGUAGCAAGGUUAACCGAAUAGGGGAGCCGGAGGGAAACCGAGUCUUAAUUGGGCGUUAAGUUGCAGGGUAUAGACCCGAAACCCGGUGAUCUAGCCAUGGGCAGGUUGAAGGUUGGGUAACACUAACUGGAGGACCGAACCGACUAAUGUUGAAAAAUUAGCGGAUGACCUGUGGCUGGGGGUGAAAGGCCAAUCAAACCGGGAGAUAGCUGGUUCUCCCCGAAAGCUAUUUAGGUAGCGCCUCGUGAAUUCAUCUCCGGGGGUAGAGCACUGUUUCGGCUAGGGGGCCAUCCCGGCUUACCAACCCGAUGCAAACUGCGAAUACCGGAGAAUGUUAUCACGGGAGACACACGGCGGGUGCUAACGUCCGUCGUGAAGAGGGAAACAACCCAGACCGCCAGCUAAGGUCCCAAAGUCAUGGUUAAGUGGGAAACGAUGUGGGAAGGCCCAGACAGCCAGGAUGUUGGCUUAGAAGCAGCCAUCAUUUAAAGAAAGCGUAAUAGCUCACUGGUCGAGUCGGCCUGCGCGGAAGAUGUAACGGGGCUAAACCAUGCACCGAAGCUGCGGCAGCGACGCUGAUGCGUUGUUGGGUAGGGGAGCGUUCUGUAAGCCUGCGAAGGUGGCCUGUGAGGGUUGCUGGAGGUAUCAGAAGUGCGAAUGCUGACAUAAGUAACGAUAAAGCGGGUGAAAAGCCCGCUCGCCGGAAGACCAAGGGUUCCUGUCCAACGUUAAUCGGGGCAGGGUGAGUCGACCCCUAAGGCGAGGCCGAAAGGCGUAGUCGAUGGGAAACGGGUUAAUAUUCCCGUACUUGGUGUUACUGCGAAGGGGGGACGGAGAAGGCUAUGUUGGCCGGGCGACGGUU